rnacentral:tRNA from 1 species
GGCCGCCUGGGCGAUCAGGUCGCGCAAUGCGGUCUUGGUGGGGUCGUCAAGCUUCUCGCCGAUCUUCGGCGGGCGGGCA